AUACUUACCUGGUGUCGGGGCCUCGUUGUCACCGAGGGCGAACACCCAGGGCGAGGCGCGAACGUUGCACUGCGCUCGCGUUGACUCCCGCCACUACCCCAAGCUGGGAUAGAUGGAACAUGCAAAUUGCUUAAAUCUGGUUCAGC
rnacentral:snRNA from 1 species